UACGUAGGGCGCAAGCGUUGUCCGGAAUUAUUGGGCGUAAAGAGCUCGUAGGCGGUUUGUCGCGUCUGCUGUGAAAACCUAAGGCUCAACCUUGGGCUUGCAGUGGGUACGGGCAGACUAGAGUGCGGUAGGGUGACUGGAAGUUCCUGGUGUAGCGGUGGAAUGCGCAGAUAUCAGGAGGAACACCGAUGGCGAAGGCAG
rnacentral:rRNA from 1 species